CUAAAAUUGAAGUCAAGGUAAAACUAAAGUUGGGGAUUAAAAUAAAUGUUUUACAUUGCAUUUUCAAACCAAGUCUUGCUCACUUCCCAAUAGAUUUGGAAGGGAAUUGUUUAACUAACACCUGGAUAUUAUUUGCUCUGGAAAUAAAGAUGACUAAUUUUUGUUUAUGGUUUUGUCUAUAUAUUUGUGCAGAUCCAACUGAUACCUUUCUCUUGCACAUCUUCAGCCCGGAGAGGAUCAAAUCGAACAAUUCUUUGUUGGUCUGAAAGGAGGUGCAAGGAAUUCCUAAUGGCUGAAUUGUCAGCAAAGAUCUCUGUUCCCUCCGUUCUCCAAUUCAUAUGCUCAGCUGUUGCAAACGCCUCCAGGUUUCAAUGACAAUUUCCUGACAGUUUCUGUCUCUAUAUGUAUUUGCCAUGAGGAAUCAGAAAAAACUAUUGCUUGUUUUAAUACAGGUCCCUUGCUUCCCCUGUAGGCCUCUGAGUAUGCCUAGAGACAUUUGCAAAUAACGGACUCCCUGGUUCUGAUAUUGCUGCACCUGUGAAUCUAAUGUAGACUUAUUCAAUGUACUAAAAUAUUCUGUAUUAUCUAGAUCAGGUAUAGUAAUUGGCAUUUUAUUCCCCUUGGUUUGGCAGGGCUUUUUAGGCAUAGCGUAACAAUUAUUAUUGUGUGCACCAGCUGCACCAGGUAGAAAUCAGCCAGACGUCCGCAUGAUUGAAGUGCCCGAGGCUGUAACCAGACUGUUCGCGGAAUACAAAUACAUUGUAUGUUAUGUUACUGUAUGAGCAAAUUGAGGAACACUCUGUGCUAACAUAAAAAAUGUCUGUGUUCUAAAAAAAAAUUAAUACCCAAAGAAAGCAGACAAGCAGAUGUACAGCCUUGUGUAGG